rnacentral:rRNA from 1 species
UACGUAGGGAGCAAGCGUUGUCCGGAAUCAUUGGGCGUAAAGCGCGCGUAGGUGGCUUCGUAAGUCCGUUGUGAAAGUCAAAGGCUCAACCUUUGAAAGCCGAUGGAUACUGCGGAGCUAGAGUACGGAAGAGGCGAGUGGAAUUCCUGGUGUAGCGGUGGAAUGCGCAGAUAUCAGGAGGAACACCAAUAGCGAAGGCAGCUCGGCUGGGACGUUACUGACACUGAGGCGCGAAAGCGUGGGGGAGCGAACAGG